UUUGUUGAAAUGUUGUGUAACUUUUAUAUACUGUAUACUGACUGUUUGCAAGCAGAUAUUCAUAAUUACUUUAUAAAAAACGUCUCGUAAUUGGCAAUUUGUAUUAACAUUAAAAUGAUAGUUCUUACAUUAAACCGUAUGCUGAUAAGUGUAAUGUGAAUGUUAUAAAGCAAUAUCACUACUAUAACUAUAGUGUCCAUGCCGACUUAUCAAUAAGCCUUCUUUAUUUGCUCGGGUGUAACAUUGUGCUGUAAAUGAGCCCGGAGAUAUGUCAUGCGUUAAACAGUAUGAUUGUAUGGUGUAAAUAUUCAAUAUGUCAUAAAACAAUAUCACUAUUUAGAAUAUAUUUUGAGUAGUGUGUUUAUGCCUCAACAAGUCUUGUUUACGCGACUAUCUGUUCGGGUGUAAAUGUAUCGAUGUAGUAUCGAUGUGCUGUAAAUGUGUCCGGAGAUUUGUAAUGUGUUAAUGUUUAGCAAUAAAUGUCCGGUAAUGGCCCGUUAACAAAGAUAUACCGCAUCUAUGUACCCAAUUAUCUUAUCUCAACUAUGCUUUACCGCCUUAGUAUUGCUUUAUAAGUUUGUUACUGUGGAGAAUACAUUAUAUUAAUUAUUAAAAACUUUUGUAGGAAUGUGGCAGCAUCACUCUCCUCUUCAGCGGGCAUUUGCAGAAAUGCGACGGACAUUCAUACAGGGUAAGUCACAUUUGCGGGCUUUUCUGUUUUAUUAGUAGACUUUUACUGAUGUUUUGCGUAGUAAUUUGGAAAAUACAAGAUGUAUAUAUAUAAACAUAUCUGUAUUUUCCGAAAAUACAUGAUACAAAUAAUGUUUUUAAUUUUUUUUUAGUAACGUGGCUUCAUCAUCAUUUACUCGCACGGGGGCAUGCAGAAACGAACCCGAAAUAAAUAAAGUGAUACAAUUUAUAUAUAUAUUUUUUAAGGAAUGUGUCUGCAACACCAACUUCGUCUGGUACUCGCACGUUUUGAACAAUGGCACGACAACAUUUAACUCCAUUCCCAAAGAGUUACAGUGUGUGAUGGUUUACAAAUGUAUACCUUAUUUUUUAUAUUUGGAAGUAUUUUUAGAUGCACACCAAACUUUCACAGCUGACAUUUAGAAUCAUUUUCUUUUAAUUAGAGCCAUAUUGUACUGGUCAUAUAGAAUAUUGUUACAUGUAUACAUAUUGUUACUUUAUUAUUUAUAAUUACAAUUAAGCUUCUUUGUUUAUAAUUACAAUAAAGCUUCUUAAAUCUA